CGAGUUUGAUCCUGGCUCAGGACGAACGCUGGCGGCGUGCCUAACACAUGCAAGUCGAACGUCCUUUCCGCGAGGGGAGGGCGUGGCGGACGGGUGAGGAACACGUGGGUGACCUGCCCUGCAGUGGGGGAUACCGGUGCGAAAGUGCCGACAAUCCCGCAUACGGUGGCGUCUUGCAAGAGGCGCCAGGAAAGCUCCGCGCCGGAGGGUGCGGGGCGCUGCAGGAGGGGCCUGCGCCCGAUUAGCUGGUUGGUAGGGUAACGGCCUACCAAGGCGACGAUCGGUCGCUGGUCUGAGAGGACGACCAGCCACACUGGGAUUGAGAGACGGCCCAGACUCCUACGGGGGGCAGCAGUGAGGGAUCUUCGGCAAUGGGCGAAAGCCUGACCGAGCGACGCCGCGUGCAGGAAGAAGGCCUUCGGGUUGUAAACUGCUUUUCUGGGGGAAGAGAGAGGACGGUACCCCAGGAAGAAGCCCCGGCAAACUACGUGCCAGCAGCCGCGGUAAGACGUAGGGGGCGAGCGUUGUCCGGAGUUACUGGGCGUAAAGGGCCUGUAGGCGGUCGGGCAGGUUCCGGCUGACAGCCCGCGGCUUCACUGCGGGAGAGGCAGGAAGACGGUCCGACUUGAGGGCCACAGAGGGACAGGGAAUUCCCGGUGGAGCGGUGAAAUGCGUAGAGAUCGGGAAGAACACCGAAGGCGAAGGCACUGUCCUAGGUGGUACCUGACGCUGAGAGGCGAAAGCUAGGGGAGCGAACGGGAUUAGAUACCCCGGUAGUCCUAGCCGUAAACGCUGACCACUAGGUGUGUGGGGAGAUCGACCCCCUGCGCGCCGAAGCGAACGCAUGAAGUGGUCCGCCUGGGGAGUACGGCCGCAAGGCUAAAACUCAAAGGAAUUGACGGGGACCCGCACAAGCAGCGGAGCGUGUGGUUUAAUUCGAUGCAACGCGAAGAACCUUACCAGGGUUGGACAAGCGCGCUGAGGGUCCAGAGAUGGGCCGGCCCGCAAGGGAGGCGUGCUCAGGUGCUGCAUGGCUGUCGUCAGCUCGUGCCGUGAGGUGUUGGGUUAAGUCCCGCAACGAGCGCAACCCCCGCUCUCGGUUGGAAUUCUCCGAGGGGACUGCCGCGCACAACGCGGAGGAAGGUGGGGAUGACGUCAAGUCAGCAUGGCCCUGACAUCCUGGGCGACACACACGCUACAAUGGUCGGGACAGCGGGCAGCGACCCGGCGACGGGGAGCCAAUCCCUUAAACCCGAUCUCAGUGCAGAUUGCAGGCUGCAACCCGCCUGCAUGAAGGAGGAGUUGCUAGUAACCGCCGGUCAGCACACGGCGGUGAAUACGUUCUCGGGUCUUGUACACACCGCCCGUCACACCACGAAAGCCGGCAACACCUGAAGCCGCUGGGCGAACCCCUCAAGAGAGGGGAGGCAGGCGUCGAGGGUGGGGUCGGUGAUUGGGGUGAAGUCGUAACAAGGUAGCCGUACCGGAAGGUGCGGCUG
rnacentral:rRNA from 1 species